rnacentral:rRNA from 1 species
CAUUACCGAGUUUCUAAAGGGGUUUCGGCUCCUGAACUCCCAACCCUUGUGUUGCUGUCCGGAUCUUCCGGCUGUAAUUUUACCACACUGUAUGUUCAAUUGCUUCGGCAGUAUUUUGCUGCCGGCAGUUAACAAACAAACUCUUUGAAUCCUCCCAAAAGUCCGAGUCAUAUUGAAUAAUCAAAACUUUCAACAACGGAUCUCUUGGUUCUGGCAUCGAUGAAGAACGCAGCGAAAUGCGAUAAGUAAUGUGAAUUGCAGAAUUUAGUGAAUCAUCGAAUCUUUGAACGCAUAUUGCGCCUCUAGGUAUUCCUAGGGGCACACCUGUUCGAGCGCCGUUUAAUUACUAAGGCUCUGCCUUGCAAUGACGAUGCCCCUGCAAUACGGGGGCUCGCCAAAACGCGCUGGCGCAGUCCCGUGGUGAGCGACGUAGCGACAUACGCAGCGAACCGACGGUGAAGGCCGCCCGUCAAACUCCAAAGUUUGGCCUCGAAUCAGGUGGGGAUACCC